GACGAACGCUGGCGGCGUGCCUAAUACAUGCAAGUCGAACGCAGUGGGGACGGGUGAGUAACCCCUGGGUAACCUCCCGUCAGAGGGGGUAACACUUGGCAACAGGUGCUAAAGUGCUACUGAUGGAUGGAUCCGCGGUGCAGUAGCUAGUUGGGGAGGUAACGGCCCACCAAGGCCACGAGGCAGAGCCGACCUGGGAGGGUGACGGGCCACACUGGGACUGAGACACGGCCCAGACUCCUACGGGAGGCAGCAGUGGGGAAGCUUCGGCAAUGGACGAAGGUCGGACGGGGCAACGCCGCGUGAGUGAAGAAGUUUUCAGGAUCGUAAAGCUCUUUGGUGAGAGAGGCGGUAUCUAACCAGAAAGCCACGGCUAACUACGUGCCAGCAGCCGCGGUAAUAC
rnacentral:rRNA from 1 species